UGAUGCAUAGCCGAGUUGAGAGACUGAUCGGCCACAUUGGGACUGAGACACGGCCCAAACUCCUACGGGAGGCAGCAGUAGGAAAUCUUCCACAAUGGACGAAAGUCUGAUGGAGCAACGCCGCGUGAGUGAAGAAGGGUUCGGGCUCGUAAAGCUCUGUUGGUAGUGAAGAAAGAUAGAGGUAGUAACUGGCCUUUAUUUGACGGUAAUUACUUAGAAAGUCACGGCUAACUACGUGCCAGCAGCCGCGGUAAUACGUAGGUGGCAAGCGUUGUCCGGAUUUAUUGGGCGUAAAGCGAGUGCAGGCGGUUCAAUAAGUCUGAUGUGAAAGCCUUCGGCUCAACCGGAGAAUUGCAUCAGAAACUGUUGAACUUGAGUGCAGAAGAGGAGAGUGGAACUCCAUGUGUAGCGGUGGAAUGCGUAGAUAUAUGGAAGAACACCAGUGGCGAAGGCGGCUCUCUGGUCUGCAACUGACGCUGAGGCUCGAAAGCAUGGGUAGCGAACAGGAUUAGAUACCCUGGUAGUCCAUGCCGUAAACGAUGAGUGCUAAGUGUUGGGAGGUUUCCGCCUCUCA
rnacentral:rRNA from 1 species